rnacentral:lncRNA from 10 species
GUUUAGUUAAUAGUACUCUGUUAGUGACCAUUUCCUGGUUUUGAUAACUGCACCAUGUUUAUGUAAGUUGUUAAUUAGAGGAAGCUGAGUGAAUGGUAGACAUGGCUCUAAGACCUUUUAUAUAUUUACAUAGCCUUAUGCCCUUUCAGUAUCUUUCCAGGCAGUUAUCAAAUGAUUCCCUACCUUACAUGAGCUUCUUGAACAUUGCUAUUUCUUCUGUAGUCACAGUGGACUAGCGCAAGGCUGGCUGCCUCAAAAUCCCCCAACCUGAAGUUCCUAAACUGGGGCUGAGAAUUUCUGGGGCUCUGUGGGGGAUUUAAGGGCUGUCUUUGAGAAUGUUCAAGUUAUGUUUUCAUUUUAAUGUCAGUCUAGAUACAGUUCAUAGUUAAUAUAUUCUGGAACAUCUUGAUGACCACCUCAUGACCAAAUGUUACCAGAUCUCCGUGCCCAGUUUGCAUUUGUGUCAUACCGUGUUGGUGUCACCUAAAAGGACAGGGCACACCAUGUGUGUGCUUGGGAUCUGCAAGAGCUCAAGGUUAAGCACAAUGAGUUAACAUAGACAAAUGUGUGGAAACAUUCCCAGUGCAUAACAAACAUUCAAUAUAUGUUCUCUGUUACCUAUCAGAGUUUCCUUCCUCUCCUCUCCUUCUCUCUCUCUCUCUUUCUUUCUUUCUCUUUUUUUCUUUUUCCUUCUUUUUUUUUUUUUUUUUUUUGGACGGAGUCUCGCUCUUUUGCCCAGGCUGGAGUGCAGUGGCGUGAUCUCGGCUCACUGCAACCUCAGCCUCCGAGGUUCAAGGGAUUCUCUUGCCUCCCGAGUAGCUGAGAUUACAGGCAUGCACCACCAUACCAGGCUAAUUAUUCUACUUUUAGUAGAGACAGGGUUUCACCAUGGUGGCCAGGUUGAUCUCGAACUCCUGACCUCAAGUGAUCCACCUGCCUCGGCCUCCCAAAGUGCUGGGAUUACAGGCGUGAGCCACCAUGCCCGGCCCAGAGUGCUUUCUUAACACACACAUCUCACCUGCCCAACUCUUGAUGUCUUCAGAACUAGGCCAAGAAAUAAAACACCUCCUGCAUGAUUCUGACGCACAGUUAGACUUGGAAAGUCAUGCUUUUUAUUUUACACACACAUGCAUACACACACACAUUUGACUCUAAGACUGGGAAGGCACCUUAGGUACCAUUUAGUACAACAUUCCCACUCUACAGAUAUGAAAACAAAGGCUCUGAGUGGUGAAGGGACUUGCCCAGAUCAGACGGCAGUAAAUCUGUAAGUAGAAUCUGAGCCUGGAACGAAGGAUAAUCAUGCAUCCCUCUGCAUAGAUGAGGAUCGCACUCUCCUUGCUGCCCAGCAGUGAGUGACUUCAGCUGCUCUCCUCAAGGCUAUUUUUGGAAUCCCUUUUCAAAUUUCUUCCAGAGUUAUUGGUCUGUUCAGGUAUUGAACUUUAUGUGUCAACUUUGCAAAUUUAGGUUUUCUGACAAUAUCAUUCACUUUAAUCAAGAUUUUAAAGUUAAUUAGCAAGAAUCAGAAAUUCCUAUAUAAUUUUUACAAUUACUUCUGUAAUUUUAGCCCUUCUUUUAACGUAACUUGUUUUCUUUUAAAAUACAGGUCCAUAUGUAUAUUAAGUAUUUUUUUUUCUUUUUUCUUUUUCUUUUUUUUUUUUUUGAGAUGGAGUUUCGCUCUAGUUGCCCAGGCUGGAGUGCAAUGGCGCAAUCUUGGCUCACUGCAACCUCUGCCUCCCAGGUUCAAGCUAUCCUCCUGCCUCAGCCUCCUGAGUAGCUGGGAUUACAGGCAUGCAUCACCACGGCUGGCUAAUUUUUGUACUUUUAGUAGAGACGGGUUUCACCAUGUUGGUCAGGUUGGUCUCAAACUCCUGACCUCAGGUGAUCCACCCGCCUCAGCCUCCCAAAGUGCUGGGAUUACAGGCAUGAGCCACUGCACCCGGCCUGUAUUAAAUAUUUUAUACUACUUCAUAGUUCUUUCAAUGUUUUUGACAUUUACAUUAAAUGUAAUAACUGUGAUAACAGCAGUAUUUUUGGACAGUGGCUUUAAGUUUCAUUUAUUUUAUUACUCACUGUUUUGUUUUGUACCCUACCAUUCCUACUUAUAAGUCCUUUAUUUUGGUUCAUGUCUUGCUCACUCAAGUAUUUCGAGUAGUUUCAGGACAGAUAUGUGGGUGAGGUACUUUCUGAGACUUUACAUGUCAUAUGUCAUUCAUUCUGGCUCAUGAAUUAUAGCUUUGCCAAUUAUAGAAUUGGCAUAAUUCAUAAUUUUUCACCCUCGAAAUGUUCAUAGAAACCCAAGAAAAUCAACUGAAAAAUGGUCAUACCAAAGAACAGAGUUAGGUAAAGUGGUUAGGCACAAAUUAAUAUAGAAAUCAAUAUUAUCUAACUAUGCAAAUAAAUUAUGUUGGGGAAACAAGAUUCCACUUCUAACAGCAACAAAAGUAAUACAAAUUUUUUUAAAAACUUUAAAAAUAUGCAAUAUUUUUAUAAAGAAAAUGUUUGAGGGACACGAAAAAGCAAAAGUAAAUGGAAAUACAUAUUCUGGUGUUAGGAAGAUUCAAUACCAUAAAAAAUUAAUUCAAAAAGGAUCAAAGAUCUAAAUGUAAAGUGCUAAAACUAUAAAACUCUUAGAAGAAAAAUUGGGGGAAGCUUCAUCACAUUGGAUUUGUCAAAGAUUUCUUGGAUAUAACACAAAAAGCACAGGCAACAAAAGAAAAAAUAGUUAAAUAUCAAAAUUUAAAACUCUGUGCAUUAAAGGAUACAAUCAACAGAGUGAAAAGGCAAGCCAUGUUAUGGAAGAAAAUAUUUGCAAAUCG